AGGCAGCAGUGGGGAAUAUUGCACAAUGGGGGAAACCCUGAUGCAGCGACGCCGCGUGAAGGAAGAAGUAUCUCGGUAUGUAAACUUCUAUCAGCAGGGAAGAAAAUGACGGUACCUGACUAAGAAGCCCCGGCUAACUACGUGCCAGCAGCCGCGGUAAUACGUAGGGGGCAAGCGUUAUCCGGAUUUACUGGGUGUAAAGGGAGCGUAGACGGAUGGACAAGUCUGAUGUGAAAGGCUGGGGCUCAACCCCGGGACUGCAUUGGAAACUGCCCGUCUUGAGUGCCGGAGAGGUAAGCGGAAUUCCUAGUGUAGCGGUGAAAUGCGUAGAUAUUAGGAGGAACACCAGUGGCGAAGGCGGCUUACUGGACGGUAACUGACGUUGAGGCUCGAAAGCGUGGGGAGCAAACAGGAUUAGAUACCCUGGUAGUCCACGCGGU
rnacentral:rRNA from 1 species